rnacentral:rRNA from 1 species
UAGGGAAUCUUCCACAAUGGGCGAAAGCCUGAUGGAGCAACGCCGCGUGAGUGAUGAAGGCCUUUGGGUUGUAAAACUCUGUCUUCUGUGACGAACAAGCCUGUGAGUAAAAUGCUCAGGCCCUGACGGUAACAGAGGAGGAAGCCACGGCUAACUACGUGCCAGCAGCCGCGGUAAUACGUAGGUGGCAAGCGUUGUCCGGAAUCACUGGGGCGUAAAGCGCGCGCAGGCGGCGAUCUACGUCUGGGGGUGAAAGCCCGGAGCUCAACUCCGGGACUGCCUUGGAUACGGGAUCGCUUGAGAAUUGGAGAGGCAAGGGGAAUUCCACGUGUAGCGGUGAAAUGCGUAGAUAUGUGGAGGAACACCUGUGGCGAAGGCGCCUUGCUGGCCAAUUUCUGACGCUGAGGCGCGAAAGCGUGGGGAGCAAACAGGAUUAGAUACCCUGGUAGUCACGCCGUAAACGAUGAGUGCUAGGUGUUGGGGGUA